rnacentral:rRNA from 1 species
CUUGCUCCCCGGAAAAAGAAGAGUGGCGAACGGGUGAGUAACACGUGGGKAACCUGCCCAUCAGAAGGGGAUAACACKKGGAAACWGGUGCAKAAURCCGUAUAACAAKCAAAACCGCAUGGUUUUGAUUUGAAAGGCGCUUUCGGGUGUYGYUGAUGGAUGGACCCGCGGUGCAUUAGCUAGKUGGUGAGGUAACGGSUCACCAAGGCCACGAUGCAUAGCCGACCUGAGAGGGUGAUCGGCCACAUUGGGACUGAGACACGGCCCAAACUCCUACGGGAGGCAGCAGUAGGGAAUCUUCGGCAAUGGACGAAAGUCUGACCGAGCAACGCCGCGUGAGUGAAGAAGGUUUUCGGAUCGUAAAACUCUGUUGUUAGAGAAGAACAAGGAUGAGAGUAACUGUUCAUCCCUUGACGGUAUCUAACCAGAAAGCCACGGCUAACUACGUGCCAGCAGCCG